AGUGAACGCUGGCGGUAGGCCUAACACAUGCAAGUCGAACGGCAGCACAGUAAGAGCUUGCUCUUACGGGUGGCGAGUGGCGGACGGGUGAGGAAUACAUCGGAAUCUACUUUUUCGUGGGGGAUAACGUAGGGAAACUUACGCUAAUACCGCAUACGACCUACGGGUGAAAGCAGGGGAUCUUCGGACCUUGCGCGAUUGAAUGAGCCGAUGUCGGAUUAGCUAGUUGGCGGGGUAAAGGCCCACCAAGGCGACGAUCCGUAGCUGGUCUGAGAGGAUGAUCAGCCACACUGGAACUGAGACACGGUCCAGACUCCUACGGGAGGCAGCAGUGGGGAAUAUUGGUCAAUGGGCGAAAGCCUGAUCCAGCCAUACCGCGUGGGUGAAGAAGGCCUUCGGGCUGUAAAGCCCUUUUGUUGGGAAAGAAAAGCAGCAGGUUAAUACCCCGCUGUUCUGACGGUACCCAAAGAAUAAGCACCGGCUAACUUCGUG
rnacentral:rRNA from 1 species